rnacentral:rRNA from 1 species
GACGAACGCUGGCGGCGUGCCUAACACAUGCAAGUCGAACGGGGUAGCAAUACCCAGUGGCGGACGGGUGCGUAACACGUGAGGAACAUGUCUUUCGGCGGGAAGUAGCCGGCCUAACGGCCGGGUAAUACCGCGUACGACGAUUGGGGCGCAUGCCUUGAUCGUGAAAGCAGCAAUGCACCGAUAGAGUGCCUCGCGGCCUAUCAGCUAGUUGGUGAGGUAAUGGCCACCAAGGCGACGACGGGUAGCUGGUCUGAGAGGAUGAUCAGCCACAUUGGGACUGAGACACGGCCCAGACCUCCGUACGGGAGGC